GAUCUCAGACUGAGAGAGUGAUCCCUUGGAACCGGCCAGUUGCUGUGACAGAGGAAAGCAAGAGCAUGGUGAAUAAUGUACUACUAUACACCCAGACUGCCAUUUGUCCCAUUUCAUUUGCUGAGGGAGAGACAUCAGUAUUUAGUGGACCAGCAUUAAUGGCUACCUUAGUCCCUCUUCAUCCUCCCAACAGCCCACAUGGAGGGAUAUAGUAUAUGAAGGAUUUGAAAUUUAAAAUGUCCUAUAGUUUUACUCUGUAUGAUAAGAAUAACAAAGAAUAAUGCACUGAAAUAGCCAUUUGUUCUUUUAAUCAAUAAAAUAGCAAGUUCCAAGUAUUCCAUCAUUUGAAUAAUAUUCUGGAAGCUUUUGGAACCAGAAGGUUAGUUAUGUUCACAAUUAAUUUGGAGAGUUAAGAUACAAUAACUUUUGGAGAGAAAAUACAUGAAAUUUGGACCUGAAUGACCCUUAGCCUGGAAUGAGAUAAACUGGUCUGGAAGCUGUGCCUUGAUAGACUCCUUUCAUGGAGCUUACCUUCAGUUGUUGUAUUGCUCUGGAGAAGAUUUCCAUUUCUGAAGCAUCAGUAAUUUCUACACAAAUAACCUUGACUCUGAGAAGGAAAUUUUUCUUUUUCCUGAAUACUGUGUGUGGGAGGGAUAAUUGCAAGGACUUUUUAGCAUUUCUCUUGCUUAAUGCUUUCUAAUCAGCCUUACGGGAAGUAGAUUUUUUUUUGCUACCACAUUUCCAUUUAGGUCCUUAUUUCAAUGGAGCACUCUACAUCAUUCAACACCACUGUCUUGAAACGCUUUCCCCACCUGGGUUCCGUGAUGUGUUCUUUCCUCUCUUGCUGGAUACUCUUAUUCAGGUUUUUUCAUCUGCUUGUCUUCCCUGCCCCAUGAAUGUUAACAUUUCCUCCACUUUUCUUUGCUUCCCUUUACUUCCAAAAUCUCCAAAUCAUUUUCCCCUUCAAAUUGCCUCAUGGCAGCUGCUUUACUUCAGACAUUCAAGUUGUAUUUUUAAACUAUAAUUCACCUGCCUCCUAUGUCUCUCUGCUUCGAAUAUCUGUCCACCUUGUCCUGUCACUUUCCAGGGAGAUCUUGUAUAGGACAAUGGCAAACUAUUAGUGUAAUCAUCAUAUAUAUAUAAGUUGUUCCAAACCCACUUUUAUUAUUCUAGUUUAACUUUCUCCUAUACUCAUCAUAGCCACAUCUGUAAUCACAGAAAUGUCCCAGGUUCUUUCAAGACUGCAAAGAACAGCAUGGGGCAGUAGAAAGACACAGAUUUUGGCAGGCAGGUAUAUCCAGAUUCAAAUCCUGGAUUUGGCAAUUAUGAGCUACUUAACCUCGAGCAAACUACCUAACCUCUCUGAAAAUCUAUUUUAUCUUCUCUUCAAUGGGAAUGACAGUCAUGAUUCACAUAGUUAUUUUCAGCAUUAGUCUUGAUAUAUGUAAAGAACUUAUCAUAGUAACUAAAGCAUAGUAGAGUUUUCAUAACUGGUAGUUAUUAUCAUUAUUAUUAUAUCUUCAUAUCCAUGUAGACAGUGUUGCUUCUCAUGAUAUUUCUAACCUUACUUACACAGCAAAUUUGUAUUCAUACUUUAGAAUUGCAAGGUUUUCAAUGCCUACUGCCUUCAACUUGCCUUUCUGGGAAAAAUUGCCCUGCUCCUUAGUACUCUACACAACAACAUUAUAUUAAUGGUUCUUGUAUAAGAGUUGCUAUUGCUUUGAUCAAGGGUGGACUAAAAUCCAAAAUAAUCUGUCUUCAGAUUGGCUAAUGGUUAUGAAGUGGACUUGUGUGAAGGAUUUGGUCCAAUACUUGUGACCUGUAGAAGCUAGACUAGAAAAUAUGGACAGGAUUGCUAUUUAGUAAUAAAUGGUCAGCCUGUAGUAAGAGAACUGAGAGCACAGAGAGGGCCAUGAAGCAGGAAGACAAAGCAGUCAUCAGGUAUGAAUCCCUUGGAAAAGUACAGAGAAGAGAGUUGGCACCUUGGGCUUGUAGUUAAUGUGCUCCAUCCCAAAACAAACAAACAAAAAACCUCUCAGGCUCAACACAAUACUGAGUCUCUGCUCCUUGCAACCAACUGGAAGAUGUGCCUCAUAAUGUUACCUUUCAUUCUUUUGACUCCCUCUAGGAGUAGCUUCUCUGGGGUCCCAGAACAUAUAUAUCUAUGUCUUUUAGAACAUAUUCUAAUAAUCUCUAUUGUUUGUCUCAACAUAAUGAGAAUUUCUGUAUUUCUUUAUAGUUCUAGCAUAUAAUAUUUUUUUCUGCCAUACAGUAGAUGAUGAAUGAGUAUUGAUUUAUGGGUAAUAAGUGAAUAAAUGAGUUCUUGCUUAUGAUUCCUACAGAAUUCCAAAAAGCACAUCACUUACAAGUUAAGUGAUUUAAAAAUAGUGCACCUGUAUUAUGUGAUUACUUUAACCUCUGUUCAGAAUAAAUGACACUAGUUCAUCUUAUUUAGGUUAAGAGACAGAGGUAGGAAAGUUGUCAGGAAGCUUUUCUUUACCUUUCUUUCUAACCUGAAAUCAACAUGGGCAUUUUGUAAUGCAUUCUUGCUACGUUCUGUGAAAGAGAAUUGUGAACUGUGCUGAAGCAAGAGUAAAACUUUGCUUAAGUGAAUUGUGUAAUUAAAUUCUGCAUCCUAACACUCCAUGAAUUUAUAGGGUCUAUUGUGUAAUUAGUUUACAAAAGAAAGAGCAUUGGAAUUAUUUAUGACAGAUGUUCACCUAACUUAAAACAGGAAGAUUAUAUUUACUUCUAUGUAGUUAUUACAAUGUAAUUAAAACCAUAAAACCACCUUAUCUGAAUUUCAAAGCCCAAGCAUAUUUUUUCUUUUUUUGGACUUACUGACUACAUUACUCUUUACUGAUCAUGCAAAGAUCAUAGGAGAUGGCCGCAGGUUGGCCACUGUAAGCUUGCCAGAUAUUUUAGUAAGUUUUUAUUUAUUCUUUUGCUCCACUUUUCAGUGGAUGAUGAGAUAAAUCUCUGAAAAAGUUGUAUGUUGGCAGAAACAUGUAGAAUAUGGUUGAUGACAAAAAUCAUUUUUGUGCCUAUUUUUUGGGAGUGCUAAAAGAAGAUCUGAGUUUUAUGUGUCAGUACUUUGUGUGUAAACCACUGUUGUCAUCUUGCAGACAAUGAAGAAGCAGGACUGUAAUUCUCCUCUGAUCUGAUUACCUAUAUAUGAUUACAUAUACACUUUAAAAAUGUGAGUGUGGAAAAUUCACAGUGUAAUUUUACCACGUUCCAUGCUGAAUAGAGAUGGUCUUAGCUUGCCCACCCUCCAUGGUAAAUCUGCUGGAGGGAAAGUUCUUGCAGGAAAUAGUAGUUGGAUUUCCAAAAAACAUGAACUAUCUUUUGAUUCAAGGCCUGGGAAAAUAUGCCCAGAUGUCAAAUGUCUGCUUCAAUCAAUUCAGCUCAUUCCACCCAUAAUCAUUUGCUUGUUAUAGGAGAUUUCCGACUCCUCCAUAAUGGCUUACUUGGAUCAGGGCAAUAUUAUUCAGGGAUUUGACAACAUGUGCAAACUCUUUUUGAAUUAAUUUUCAAAGUCUUUUGUGACUGGUGUCAAUUUGGCAACAGUAUUCUUUCGUAUUCGUAGGCUCAAGGUCUAGGGUUUGGGGGUUGUUAAUUUUAAGAAUUUCCUCCUCAACAACUCCUUUUCACCUUCCAGAAGACAGAAGUACUGUGAGCAUCAGAAUAUUAGAGUUAAAAUAGGGGGAGAGACAUGGAUUUCAAGGUUGUAAGUUUGACUUUUUCACUCUGAAAAGAACUUUUAACAGCAGCAUAAUUUGAGAAUAAGGCUGAAGCUUAGAAUCUGCCUCAUUCAAGGUUUCUAAAUGCUCACAGAAAGAAACUUUUCACCUGUAAAUGUGGCACUUAUUCUAGAAUGUAUCAUUUAUACUAUAGCAAUCAUUUUAUAGCUGCAUCAUACUAAAAAUAUUUAAAUUAAAAUGCAGUUAAAACUGAGGUGUAAUAUUGGCUCAUAUUUUAAAAUUUAAAAAAUUAUUUAUAAAAUUGAACUACAGAAGGCAGAAAACAUUUCACAGGUUAAUUUUGCUCAGUGUUGCCCUAAAAACAUCCUCAUGUCCACUGCCUUGGGUUGGGCACAAUAUAAAGAAAGCUAAAGAAACAUAGCCCUUUCUCACCAGACUGAGAUUGUACCUUGUAGCCUUGUAACACUGUCACCCAAUGUCCCAGGGAGUCUUUCUCUUUUUUAUGUUGGUGCCUAUAACUGACUUAAAAAUUUUUCAGAAUAGAGAGAAUGGCCAGCAAGAUGAUAGUGCUCUAGGAAGUAUAUCUUUUCUACAAUAGCAUUUCAUUUUAUUGACUGAUUCAUUACAGGUACUUUCACAUAGAUCACUUUUUAGGUUGUGAUUGGAAAAUGAUUAAGAUCCUCUCCUUUUUAAAAAAAUUAAUACUAAGGUUAAAAAGACAUGCAUUUAUAGUGUAUCAAACCAGUAUCCAGGCAUAUUUGUGGGAAUUUGUGAUCCAAGUUUGGGCUGUAAAAUUUAACUUCCAUUUUAAAUGCAUCUUUCACAAACUAAUUCAUUUAGUACAAUUUGUAAUUUUCUGUGUUAACAAUUAUUAAAUACCAAUUUUACAUCAAAAGGAAAGGGAGGGAUAAAUGAGAAGUUUGGUAUUAACAUAUACACACUACUAUAUAUAAAAUAUAUAAGCAUCAAAGUCCUACUGUAUAGCACAGGGAAAUCUCAAUAUUUUAUAAUAACCUAUAUGGGAAAAUAAUAUAUAACCGAUUCAUUACAGUAUACUUGAAACAAAGACAACAUUGUAAGUCAACUAUACU
rnacentral:lncRNA from 1 species